GAUGAACGCUGACAGCAUGCUUAACACAUGCAAGUCAACUUGAACUUCGGUUUGGGUGGCGGACGGGUGAGUAACGCGUAAAGAACUUGCCUCACAGAUAGGGACAACAUUUGGAAACGAAUGCUAAUACCUGAUAUUAUGAUUAUAUGGCAUCGUAUAAUUAUGAAAGCUAUAUGCGCUGUGAGAGAGCUUUGCGUCCCAUUAGCUAGUUGGAGAGGUAACGGCUCACCAAGGCGAUGAUGGGUAGCCGGCCUGAGAGGGUGAUCGGCCACAAGGGGACUGAGACACGGCCCUUACUCCUACGGGAGGCAGCAGGGGGGAAUAUUGGACAAUGGACCAAGAGUCUGAUCCAGCAAUUCUGUGUGCACGAUGAAGUUUUUCGGAAUGUAAAGUGCUUUCAGUUGGGAAGAAAAAAAUGACGGUACCAACAGAAGAAGUGACGGCUAAAUACGUG
rnacentral:rRNA from 1 species